rnacentral:rRNA from 1 species
CUCUGCGGCAUGCUCUCGCUGCCGUCAUGGCACACCUCUCCAGACCUCGACACGCUUGCCGC